rnacentral:rRNA from 1 species
UACGGAGGGUGCGAGCGUUGUCCGGAAUCACUGGGCGUAAAGGGUGCGUAGGUGGCAUGUUAAGUUUGAUGUGAAAGCUCAGGGCUUAACCCUGAAAUGGCAUUGAAUACUAGCGUGCUGGAGGUUUGGAGGGGGGACUGGAAUUCUCGGUGUAGCAGUGAAAUGCGUAGAUAUCGAGAGGAACACCAGUGGCGAAGGCGAGUCCCUGGACAACACCUGACACUGAGGCACGAAAGCCGGGGGAGCAAACAGG